CCCGUCCUGCAUUGCGGCCUGGAAAAGCCGCUGCCGGUAAAUUUAAUUCAACAUAAAAUUAAUAUAAAAUCACAGAAGCGAUAAAAUUGCAAACUAACGACACACUUCGAAAGUUCCUGUCGAAAGGCACAUUUUGAUGCAGUUAAAAAGUUCCGUUCGAAUCAGUCUCGGUGAGUGCGUGUGCGCGCGCCGGCUGCGUGGGGAGCGGAGCAGCAGAGCCGUUGGCGCCACUUUCAAAUCCUGCGCAGACAGAAUGAGAGCCCAGCUUCAAUACAUUUACACGUUCUGCGCCGGAGCUUCAGCCCCGUAGCGCAGGGAAUAUGACACCCAGCGUCUUUUACCUCGGAAGCUGCUUCAGCUUUUAGCAUCUUUCACAACAGUUUCAUCCCUUCACCGUCGAGGAUGGUGCUUGAAACUUUUCCAGCCUGAACGCUUUCUCCUCAUACCUCAGAGAAAAGCCACCGUUGACACUAUAGCGCACUAUUAAUGUCAGUUUUCAAGAGAUAAGCGACGAACGCGACGUUGCUGCAGCGGACACUCCCCCAGCGCCGGCUCCUCCUCACAGACCCCAGCCCACCGCUGACAGAACAGAACCAGCACCAGGCUCUUCAUAGUGGACCCCUACAGGCUGCCUGCAACUGCCACACCCAUCAUUGAGUGGAUUUCUCUUCAGUCAUCACUCAAGAUUUUAUUAGCCUGUAGUAAAAAAAUUGAAUAAAAUGUCUGAUCACUUAAU